rnacentral:rRNA from 1 species
AACGAACGCUGGCGGCAUGCCUAACACAUGCAAGUCGAACGGGAUCCUAGCUUGCUAGGUGAGAGUGGCGGACGGGUGAGUAACACGUGGGAAUCUGCCUUUUGGUUCGGGAUAACCGCGGGAAACUGCGGCUAAUACCGAAUGCCCUCGAGAGAGGAAAGAUUUAUCGCCAGAAGAGGAGCCCGCGUCCGAUUAGGUAGUUGGUGGGGUAAAGGCCUACCAAGCCGACGAUCGGUAGCUGGUCUGAGAGGAUGAUCAGCCACACUGGGACUGAGAUACGGCCCAGACUCCUACGGGAGGCAGCAGUGGGGGAAUAUUGGACAAUGGGGGCAACCCUGAUCCAGCAAUGCCGCGUGAGUGAUGAAGGCC